AAUACUCACUCUCUCUCUCUCCAACCGCAUCCCUCUUCAACCCAAAAUCCUCAAUCGUCUCCCCUCAUUCCCAACCAUUCCUAAACCCUAGCUUCGAUUUCUGCCGUCAAAUCCACGUUCCGCCGCCGUUUCAGAGUUGAAGCCUCAAUCCCUUUGCGCGCGACGGUCUUUGUCCAUUCGCCAAGAAGAACAUCAAUGACGAAAAGAAGCAGACCCUUCAAAAGCCAACCUACCCAGACUGCACGUGAUCAAUCUAUUGCAUUUGCCAUUUGUAUUCAUCGAAAACAUCAAAGCUACCAAGGGUAGACUACGAAGAGAUGUUGGAUGAUGUUGUUCCGAUAGCAAUUGCGCAGCGUUUCCGGCAGAGAAUGACAGAAUAAAAAGAGGAGCCCUCUAAAGUGCAAGCUGAAGUGGGUGAAGGGCCCAGUAGAUCAAAGAAAGGGAACCUCCUCUAUUUUAGGAGGGUCUUAUUGAUUAUUUGGUCGUUCACCAUUUGUGGUAAUUGUAUGGUUGUUAAUUUUUUUUUUUGUGUACA